UGCAAGUCGAACGAGACCUUCGGGUCUAGUGGCGCACGGGUGCGUAACGCGUGGGAAUCUGCCCUUGGGUUCGGAAUAACAGUGAGAAAUUACUGCUAAUACCGGAUGAUGUCUUCGGACCAAAGAUUUAUCGCCCAGGGAUGAGCCCGCGUAGGAUUAGGUAGUUGGUGGGGUAAUGGCCUACCAAGCCGACGAUCCUUAGCUGGUCUGAGAGGAUGAUCAGCCACACUGGGACUGAGACACGGCCCAGACUCCUACGGGAGGCAGCAGUGGGGAAUAUUGGACAAUGGGCGAAAGCCUGAUCCAGCAAUGCCGCGUGAGUGAUGAAGGCCUUAGGGUUGUAAAGCUCUUUUACCAGGGAUGAUAAUGACAGUACCUGGAGAAUAAGCUCCGGCUAACUCCGUGCCAGCAGCCGCGGUAAUACGGAGGGAGCUAGCGUUGUUCGGAAUUACUGGGCGUAAAGCGCGCGUAGGCGGUUACUCAAGUCAGAGGUGAAAGCCCGGGGCUCAACCCCGGAACUGCCUUUGAAACUAGGUAACUAGAAUCUUGG
rnacentral:rRNA from 1 species